GAUGAACGCUGGCGGCGUGCCUAAUACAUGCAAGUAGAACGCUGAAGCUUGGUGCUUGCACCGAGCGGAUGAGUUGCGAACGGGUGAGUAACGCGUAGGUAACCUGCCUCUUAGCGGGGGAUAACUAUUGGAAACGAUAGCUAAUACCGCAUAAAAGUCGAUAUCGCAUGAUAUUGAUUUGAAAGGUGCAAAUGCAUCACUAAGAGAUGGACCUGCGUUGUAUUAGCUAGUUGGUGAGGUAACGGCCCACCAAGGCGACGAUACAUAGCCGACCUGAGAGGGUGAUCGGCCACACUGGGACUGAGACACGGCCCAGACUCCUACGGGAGGCAGCAGUAGGGAAUCUUCGGCAAUGGGGGCAACCCUGACCGAGCAACGCCGCGUGAGUGAAGAAGGUUUUCGGAUCGUAAAGCUCUGUUGUAAGAGAAGAGCGAGUGUGAGAGUGGAAAGUUCACACUGUGACGGUAACUUACCAGAAAGGGACGGCUAACUACGUG
rnacentral:rRNA from 1 species